rnacentral:RNase_P_RNA from 1 species
CGCUCCCGGCCGGGUACGGACCGCGGGGAGGAACUUCCGGACUCCAUAAGGCAGUGUGCCGUUUGAAAAGACGGAACAACGGAGCCACAUUUCCGUUGGAUGGAAAGUGCCACAGAAAAUAAACCGCCCGUAAGGGUAAGGGUGAAAAGGUGCGGUAAGAGCGCACCGCGCGCUAGGUAACUAACGCGGCAGGGUAAACCCCACACGGAGCAAGGCCAAGCCGGUCCAUACGUCGCCUGCGUUCGUGACCAAGUAGGCCGCUUAGAGUAAUGGUUAUCACAACUCGUCAGAGUUGACAGAAUCCGGGGUAUCGGCUGUCCU